rnacentral:misc_RNA from 1 species
GAUGAAGAACGCAGCGAAAUGCGAUAAGUAAUGUGAAUUGCAGAAUUCAGUGAAUCAUCGAAUCUUUGAACGCACAUUGCGCCCGCCAGUAUUCUGGCGGGCAUGCCUGUUCGAGCGUCAUUUCAACCAUCAAGCCCCCGGCUUGUGUUGGGGACCUGCGGCUGCCGCAGGCCCUGAAAACCAGUGGCGGGCUCGCUAGUCACUCCGAGCGUAGUAAUACAACUCGCUCAGGGCGUGCUGCGGGUUCCGGCCGUUAAAAAGCCUUAUUUACCCAAGGUUGACCUCGGAUCAGGUAGGAAGACCCGCUGAACUUAAGCAUAUCAAUAAGCGGAGGA